UACGGAGGGGGCUAGCGUUGUUCGGAAUUACUGGGCGUAAAGCGCACGUAGGCGGCUUUGUAAGUCAGAGGUGAAAGCCUGGAGCUCAACUCCAGAACUGCCUUUGAGACUGCAUCGCUUGAAUCAUGGAGAGGUCAGUGGAAUUCCGAGUGUAGAGGUGAAAUUCGUAGAUAUUCGGAAGAACACCAGUGGCGAAGGCGGCUGACUGGACAUGUAUUGACGCUGAGGUGCGAAAGCGUGGGGAGCAAACAGG
rnacentral:rRNA from 1 species